GGAAUAUAAGAAUCCGUCUCUUAACUUUUAACUAAAAAAAGUUAAUAACCGAUUCUUAAAACUUUUAUUUAAGAGCCGGUUCUUAGCUUUUUUAGUUAAAAAUUAAGAGACGAGUUCUUAUAUUCC
rfam:Brassica napus, WGS project CCCW01000000 data, contig: 12512